rnacentral:tRNA from 1 species
GGCGGCGUAGCCAAGUGGGAAGGCAGAGGACUGCAAAUCCUCCAUUCAUCGGUUCGAAUCCGAUCGCCGCCU